UACACACGUUCACCAAUGCAACGCAGAAUGGGCUCAUCCUUAUCAACAAAGGAUUUAUUUCUCGGACCAAAAUCAUACCAAGAAAAUGGAUAACAUAACCUCAAUCCAUUUCACUGCUCUUGAAAUUUCCAGAUUGCUGAUUCAACAUAUCUCUCCGUCUUUAAAGUUUGUUUACAUUUCGUUGGGAAAAAAACACAAGGAGGAUCACAGAAAUGUAGCGGCCGAAGAAAGAGUUCAAAUAAAUCCAAGCCCCGGCGGUCAGCUGCUUGGAGAGCGAGAUCUCCAUCUUGGGCUCGUGCGUAAUGGUUUCGACAUAUCGUUUGAAGAAGUACCCCUUAUAUUUUAUUUAUAGGAUAUGCGGCGUUGCAAACACCACAAACAUAUCAUAAUUAUUAGUAUUAGGCCUACCAUUAUCAGCCUAGUAGUAGGCGAGCCUACGAUUAGUAGUAGUAGGCCUAGUACAGUGGCCUAGUAUAUAAGUAGGCCUUGUAUUAAUAGUAUUAUUAUUCAAGUCUACUACUUUAACCACAUAUCAAAACGUACAGUAGACCUUUAAUAAUAAUUUUCGUCAUACUAGUAAAUCCCUCUGACGGGUAACAAGGUUCACAUGGAGGGGGGUAGUUGCCUGAGGGCACACAGUUAAUGUGUUGUGAAAAGUGUCAUGAAAUGUAAUGUUUUGUCAUAUCUUUAAUUGUAUUUAACUGCCUUAAUGUUGCGGGAGCCCAGGAAGAACUGCUGCCUAAUGGAGAUCUUUAAUAAAUACAAAUAUGGUCAUAAAUCUACAAGAACAAAGGGAGUCGAAUAAAGCAUCGUUUUCACCAAUCUUCCAUUGAUUUAAUCUGAAAUCUGAAAUUCAAACUCAAAUGUAUUACUUUAGUCAAGAUGCGUAAAAGUAUUGCGAGAACGAGUAGCCUAAAUUGUGGAUAUGAUAUAUGGUUCUCACAGUGCUCAGCUCAGACCAGUUCCAGGUCAAACCAGCUUAGAGAGCUUGUCUAUUUGUGUAUUUGUAUAUUUAGGUAAACUCAUAUGGGACACACACACACACAUGAACGAAGGUGCACGUACGCCGAGACAAAUUCACCAAAAAGCGAGCGCAACAGAGCGAAAGAAGUGGUGGAAACUGAGAGCCUUGUGAAUUCCCACAAGGUGACUUUUGUUGGCUAGACUUACUGUUGAUGCACAUUCAUGUAAAUAUUAGUGGCAUUCGUUAGAAAUGUCAAGCCAACAUCAUGUGUUUGAAGAAAAAAAUUAAAUAGAGAUUACACAAAGAUAUCCAAAAACAACGGAGUUGUCGGCCAGUUGUAGUUGUCCAAUAAUAACACAAUUAAACAAAUCAUGUUCUUUUCGA